CGCAGGAUGAAAAGUGUGGGGCAGCCGCAGAAAUUGUCAAGAUUAUGAAUUUUCCUCUCAAUUUGAGACAGGGGAAAAAUCGGUUGUUGCGUGAUUGGAAAGCUAUUUCCUAGUCAGCUGUGGUCAGAAGUAGGAUCAACUGUAAAAGGUAAGGCCACAAAUCGUGCAGAGACUCAUACGUUUCAUGAGUGGCCCUGCUGAUUUCAGUGAUUCUUGUGCGCCAACUUAAGCAGAUGUCUGGUUUUGUGUCAAAGUCUCCGGACCCCCUGGACUCAAUCUGUGAGAGCAUCAACACUCAGCUUUGUUAUCUGAUAACCUCACUUCAGAAGCUCCAUUACCGAAUGUUAGGCCAACAGAUGACUAAGCUUCGAGUUGUUGUUGUAGAGAAGGAAACUUCUUUCUCCUUCUGGGGAGAUAUUUCACAUUGAAAAAAAAAAUACAACCCAAAGUUUAAAUCUUUUCAAUAUAGACUGAAAAUUGUGUGUACCUAAAUUUGUGAAGAACCUUGAUGGUGUGUGAUGGGCAGAUGUUUUGCAAGGACAGCUGAAUGCCUGCAAAAGGUUUUGAGUAAAACCUGCAUAUAUUUUUCAUUAACAAAUUGACAUUUUUUUU